CUGUCAACUGUUUCCAAACGCCUAUGCAUUGCCAUCCAUAAGAUAUAUUUCUGUUUUGGUAGUAUUCCAGUCACCAUCACUAAUGUUUUCCAUUAAAAUUUGGGAUAUUGUGGAGUAGUAUGAAUAUAUGCCUUCCUGAUGCUAAAUUGCCCAUUCUGAGUACAGGCUUGCAUUCAUAUUCUAUCAGUAGCCCACCAUUCUCUUGCUCCAAAUAACUUCCUUACCAGCCAACUAGCUUGCUUUGGGAUUUCCAUAGUAGCAAUGUCCUUCUUCUUUAUAUAGUGACAAUGGAUC
rnacentral:lncRNA from 1 species